UUACGGCCACAUCACGUUGAAACUCUGGUUACCGUACGAUCCCAGAAGUUAACCAGAAUCGAGUCUGUUCAGUACCUAGAUAGGUGACCGCUUGGGAAUGUCCU